ACAGCAUGGUGGGGGCAUUUAUGAAUAAGGUCUCUUAACAUUUCCCAUAUCUCAUGAAAAAGUUCACCAUCCAAUUGAAAAAAAUCAGUGAUGGCUUUUCUAAUUU